rnacentral:rRNA from 1 species
ACUGACAUAGAAGACACGAUAGCCUACUUCGAUGAGAAAGCGAAAGAAGAUCCAGAUUUCUUCUACAGGAUAAGAUUGGACAAUGAGGACUGUGUCAGGAACAUGUAUUGGGUGGAUGGUGCUACAAGAAGAGCCUACAAACAUUUCCGAGAUUGCAUUUCAUUCGACGCGACAUAUCUCACUAAUAUGUACAAGAUGCCAUGCGCUCCAUUCAUAAGAAUAAAUAAC